UGGGGAAUUUUGGACAAUGGGGGAAACCCUGAUCCAGCCAUCCCGCGUGUGCGAUGAAGGCCUUCGGGUUGUAAAGCACUUUUGGCAGGAAAGAAACGUCAUGGGUUAAUACCCCGUGAAACUGACGGUACCUGCAGAAUAAGCACCGGCUAACUACGUGCCAGCAGCCGCGGUAAUACGUAGGGUGCAAGCGUUAAUCGGAAUUACUGGGCGUAAAGCGUGCGCAGGCGGUUCGGAAAGAAAGAUGUGAAAUCCCAGAGCUCAACUUUGGAACUGCAUUUUUAACUACCGGGCUAGAGUGUGUCAGAGGGAGGUGGAAUUCCGCGUGUAGCAGUGAAAUGCGUAGAUAUGCGGAGGAACACCGAUGGCGAAGGCAGCCUCCUGGGAUAACACUGACGCUCAUGCACGAAAGCGUGGGGAGCGAACAGG
rnacentral:rRNA from 1 species